CUUCCAAAUUUGACCAAGAGGAGGCUCGAAGGGCACUUGCGGAAAUGUUUAUUGGGGAAGAGCUACCAUUUCACUUUGUUGAAAGCCCAAAAUUCCGAAGAUUUGUGCAUGCCCUAUAAGCAAGAUUCAAAGUUCCUUCACAGACUACAUUAGCACGUGAAAUUGGAGCUCUUUAUGCUGAAGAGAAGAUGAGAUUGUAAGAUUUUCUCUCGGCAAAUUGUGGUAGAGUAUGUCUAACCACUGACACUUGGACUUCAAUUCAAAAUUUUACUUAUAUGAGUUUGACAGCACACUUUGUUGAUUUGGAUUGGAAAUUACAUAAAAAAAUACUUAAUUUUUGUCAAAGAUUUUUUCCCGGAUUUU